rnacentral:rRNA from 1 species
UACAGAGGUCUCAAGCGUUGUUCGGAUUCAUUGGGCGUAAAGGGUGCGUAGGCGGCGCGGUAAGUCGGGUGUGAAAUCUCGGAGCUUAACUCCGAAACUGCAUUCGAUACUGCCGUGCUUGAGGACUGGAGAGGAGACUGGAAUUUACGGUGUAGCGGUGAAAUGCGUAGAUAUCGUAAGGAAGACCAGUGGCGAAGGCGGGUCUCUGGACAGUUCCUGACGCUGAGGCACGAAGGCCAGGGGAGCAAAACGGGG